AUCACUUUAAUGUCCACGUUUGAGGCGUUACAGUUAAAACGCGAGCGUGACCGCUCUCAGGCUUCUCUCUGAUAUAGGAACGUAGGGAUGGAGCGUAUCGUUGCGGGGGGGAAGCCCUGCGGGAGGGCCGACAAGAUUUCCAAGAGAUUCAAGCAGACGAAUUUUAGGCAAUAACAAAUGGCGGAUUUACCUCGUCGCCCCUCCCUCAGCGGUUCACCCCCCUCAUCCAUAUAACUAGUUUAUGCUCCAUCCCUACAUUCCUAUAUCCAUGAUACCGAUCCCUCUCUGGAGGAUCCCUAUUUGGCGAUCGCUCGCCACUCCUGUCGACCUUUAAAAUAUUUUGAUUCGAUAAGAGACGUGAAAGUAUUUCUAGUUUUCUACUUAGAACAAGUUAUUAUUUAUACGAUAUGACGGUCAAAUAAUAAAACAAAUUAACUUAUUA